AAAUUGAAGAGUUUGAUCAUGGCUCAGAUUGAACGCUGGCGGCAGGCCUAACACAUGCAAGUCGAACGGUAACAGGAAACAGCUUGCUGUUUCGCUGACGAGUGGCGGACGGGUGAGUAAUGUCUGGGAAACUGCCUGAUGGAGGGGAUAACUACUGGAAACGGUAGCUAAUACCGCAUAACGUCGCAAGACCAAAGAGGGGGACCUUCGGGCCUCUUGCCAUCAGAUGUGCCCAGAUGGGAUUAGCUAGUAGGUGGGGUAACGGCUCACCUAGGCGACGAUCCCUAGCUGGUCUGAGAGGAUGACCAGCCACACUGGAACUGAGACACGGUCCAGACUCCUACGGGAGGCAGCAGUGGGGAAUAUUGCACAAUGGGCGCAAGCCUGAUGCAGCCAUGCCGCGUGUAUGAAGAAGGCCUUCGGGUUGUAAAGUACUUUCAGCGGGGAGGAAGGGAGUAAAGUUAAUACCUUUGCUCAUUGACGUUACCCGCAGAAGAAGCACCGGCUAACUCCGUGCCAGCAGCCGCGGUAAUACGGAGGGUGCAAGCGUUAAUCGGAAUUACUGGGCGUAAAGCGCACGCAGGCGGUUUGUUAAGUCAGAUGUGAAAUCCCCGGGCUCAACCUGGGAACUGCAUCUGAUACUGGCAAGCUUGAGUCUCGUAGAGGGGGGUAGAAUUCCAGGUGUAGCGGUGAAAUGCGUAGAGAUCUGGAGGAAUACCGGUGGCGAAGGCGGCCCCCUGGACGAAGACUGACGCUCAGGUGCGAAAGCGUGGGGAGCAAACAGGAUUAGAUACCCUGGUAGUCCACGCCGUAAACGAUGUCGACUUGGAGGUUGUGCCCUUGAGGCGUGGCUUCCGGAGCUAACGCGUUAAGUCGACCGCCUGGGGAGUACGGCCGCAAGGUUAAAACUCAAAUGAAUUGACGGGGGCCCGCACAAGCGGUGGAGCAUGUGGUUUAAUUCGAUGCAACGCGAAGAACCUUACCUGGUCUUGACAUCCACGGAAGUUUUCAGAGAUGAGAAUGUGCCUUCGGGAACCGUGAGACAGGUGCUGCAUGGCUGUCGUCAGCUCGUGUUGUGAAAUGUUGGGUUAAGUCCCGCAACGAGCGCAACCCUUAUCCUUUGUUGCCAGCGGUCCGGCCGGGAACUCAAAGGAGACUGCCAGUGAUAAACUGGAGGAAGGUGGGGAUGACGUCAAGUCAUCAUGGCCCUUACGACCAGGGCUACACACGUGCUACAAUGGCGCAUACAAAGAGAAGCGACCUCGCGAGAGCAAGCGGACCUCAUAAAGUGCGUCGUAGUCCGGAUUGGAGUCUGCAACUCGACUCCAUGAAGUCGGAAUCGCUAGUAAUCGUGGAUCAGAAUGCCACGGUGAAUACGUUCCCGGGCCUUGUACACACCGCCCGUCACACCAUGGGAGUGGGUUGCAAAAGAAGUAGGUAGCUUAACCUUCGGGAGGGCGCUUACCACUUUGUGAUUCAUGACUGGGGUGAAGUCGUAACAAGGUAACCGUAGGGGAACCUGCGGUUGGAUCACCUCCUUA
rnacentral:rRNA from 1 species